rnacentral:rRNA from 1 species
UCCAAUUACUGGGCGAGGCCCUGAAGCAGCAACUGCCGCGCUGUGUGAAGAAGGCCUGCGGGCCGUAAAGCACUCCCGGUAGGGAAGAGUAUGACGGUACCUACAGAAGAGGCACCGGCUAACUCCGUGCCAGCAGCCGCGGUAAUACGGAGGGUGCGAGCGUUAAUCGGAAUCACUGGGCGUAAAGCGCGCGUAGGCGGUCUUGUAAGCCGGAUGUGAAAGCCCCGGGCUUAACCUGGGAACUGCAUUCGAUACUGCUUGACUAGAGUAUGGUAGAGGGUAGCGGAAUCCCGGGUGUAGCGGUGAAAUGCGUAGAUAUCCGGAGGAACACCAGUGGCGAAGGCGGCUACCUGGACCAAUACUGACGCUGAGGUGCGAAA